rnacentral:rRNA from 1 species
UACAGAAGUUGCAGGCGUUAAUCGGAAUUACUGGGCGUAAAGCGCGCGUAGGUGGCAAGUUAAGUCGGAUGUGAAAGCCCUGGGCUCAACCUAGGAAUUGCAUUCGAUACUGGCUCGCUCGAGUUUGGUAGAGGAGAGUGGAAUUCCCGGUGUAGCGGUGAAAUGCGUAGAUAUCGGGAGGAAGACCAGUUGCGAAGGCGACUCUCUGGGCAAUUCCUGACACUGAGGCACGAAGGCCAGGGGAGCAAACGGG